rnacentral:rRNA from 1 species
CCUACGGGAGGCAGCAGUGGGGAAUAUUGCACAAUGGGCGAAACCCUGAUGCAGCGACGCCGCGUGAGUGAAGAAGUAAUUCUUUAUGUAAAGCUCUAUCAGCAGGGAAGAAAAUGACGGUACCUGAGUAAGAAGCCCCGUCUAACUACGUGCCAGCAGCCGCGGUAAUACGUAGGGGGCAGGCGUUAUCCGGAUUUACUGGGUGUAAAGGGAGCGUAGACGGCAGUGCAAGUCUGGAGUGAAAGGCGGGGGCUCAACCCCCGGACUGCUCUGGAAACUGUACGGCUGGAGUGCAGGAGAGGUAAGUGGAAUUCCUAGUGUAGCGGUGAAAUGCGUAGAUAUUAGGAGGAACACCAGUGGCGAAGGCGGCUUACUGGACUGUAACUGACGUUGAGGCUCGAAAGCGUGGGGAGCAAACAGGAUUAGAUACCCGGGUAGUC